rnacentral:lncRNA from 1 species
ACCCCGUCUCUAGAUUUGCCAUGGUAAUAAGGCUUUUGCCAUGGAAUUCCAUGGAGUUCCGUGGCAAAAAGCCUGGAAAUCCGUGGAAUAUUGAAAUUUUCCAUGGACAGUGAAUGGAACAGUAAGUUUGCCAUGGAUUUCCACGGAUUACAGCUGAAAUAUUGAUCAAUUUCCAUGGAAGCAGGAGCUUUUGCCAUGGAAAGUUGGACUUAGUAAAAUUUUGGGAUGGAAAAUAGCAUAGAAAAUAAACUUAGAAAAUUUUUGUGAUAGAAAUUAAUGGAAACUGUGGUCUUAGAAUUUUUUUUGAGGUAUUUCUUGUGAACAUAGAAUAUUUUAAUGGAUUAGUAUGUUUUAUGACCAAUAACUACAACUAACGUAAUUAGAUAGGUAAAACAACUAAUGGAAUUACAGUAAAACCUGUCUUUAGAAGCCAGCCAAGGCAGUAGGAAGAAGUGGCUGCUUAUGGCAGAUGGCUGCUUAAUGCAGGUAAUUUAUAGCAUGAAUAACCAUUUUGGGAAAUGAGACACUGGCUGCCUUAAGACAGGUUGACUGCUUAAUAGAGGUGACUGCUAAAGAAGGUUUUACUGUAAAACAUUUAUUGUAAUGCAACUUGUCAUAUAAACUCACCUUGCAGAUAGAUUCAUUUUGAACUAAUCUUUAAAAAAAUAUUGAAAUAUCAUGACUUUUUCUCCUAGGAUAACACCAAAAAAGAACAGCAAUAAAUAUUACAAUUCUUUACACCAACAUUCAUUAAAAGUUACCUGGCCAAGGGAUUCUUAGUUAAUCAAGUAAUAAAUUAUUUGGUUCUUUUAAUCUUCUGUAGUGUACCUGUUGCUUGUCUCACAACAGGAGAUUAUCCCAGACUGCAUGAUAAGACCUUGUCUGCUUUAUAUUUAGAAACUCAUAACAAGAGAUCAACCAAUGAAAAUAAAGUCUGUGAACUACUUCUAGGGGCUGUAAUUGUACCUCAAAAAGUAAUCCUGAACUUUGUUUCUGUUUAAUAUCAGGGUAAACUUAAAAAAUAAUGAGUAUGUAAGUGGAAUAAAAUCAACCUGUGGUACAAAAAUAUUUUUAACAUCCCAGAUGUAUCCUCCAAUAGCUGACUGUAAAUGACACAUUUGCCCAAGAAUAUCUAAAUUUCAAAUCUACACAGGAAGUUCUUUGUUUGAGAGCAGGAUGGAGUUAUUUUACUGUGUUUACAUGCAGCUUGGAAGUUAACAAUAACUAAAAGAAUACACCAGGAGUAAAUAAACAGCAUGCAGUAUGAAUGAAUGAAUGAAUGGAGAUAAUUCAGUUUAGUGACUCAAUGUAUUGUGUUCAAAGAAGGCCCCAUCCAAUAAUUCAAAGACAUGUUAAUGCAGUGAGGCAACUGAUGGCAAAUGAUGGCUUUGUGGCGGUUAAUGAAAACUACAUGGUAUUUUAUACUGAUGGUGGCGAACAGUGACAGAAAAUUUCUCAACCAAUAGUUACAUUUAGUUGAAAGUGAUGGUAUAAUCUUAUACUGACUAUACUGAAUUAUAACAAACAGUGGAAAACAUUGAUAAACUACAAUGACAGUGGAUCCUUAUAGAAACUGGUGACA